rnacentral:tRNA from 1 species
CAAUUAAUAGUUUAAAAAAAAUUUAAGUUUUGGGGAUUUAGGAUCUCCUUUGGAGUUAAUUGG